rnacentral:misc_RNA from 1 species
GCCGCCGUCAAUACCCGACACCUUCUCCAUCUCCUCAAUCUGGCGCCGGAUCUUAUGUGACACCCCCUCUACAAACGUGUUCGCCUUGGUGAGGUCGUCACUGAGUGCUAGAAGCGAAUCUAGGGUUCCGACGCGGAGAUCCGGCGUAUUGAAGCGGUAGAGGGGGGUGUCGAAGGAUUGCUUCGAGAUUGACUCCUGCAAGCGGCUCCAGAGGGCGGAGUGGGAGGUCUUGACGGGGAGGGAGACGAUCCAGUACCGCGUCGCCAUUAGAGAUCUCCGACGGCGGUAGGGAUAGGACACGGCGGAGCGCGGCGGCGGUGAGGUGGCUCCGGCGAGUGCUCCGGCG